CCUACGGGUGGCAGCAGUGGGGAAUAUUGGGCAAUGGGCGCAAGCCUGACCCAGCAACGCCGCGUGAAGGAAGAAGGCUUUCGGGUUGUAAACUUCUUUUUUCAGGGACGAAGCAAGUGACGGUACCUGAGGAAUAAGCCACGCCUAACUACGUGCCAGCAGCCGCGGGAAUACGGAGGGGGCAAGCGUUAUCCGGAUUUACUGGGUGUAAAGGGCGUGUAGGCGGGACUGCAAGUCAGAUGUGAAAACCAUGGGCUCAACCUAUGGCCUGCAUUUGAAACUGUAGUUCUUGAGUACUGGAGAGGCAGACGGAAUGCGUGGUGUAGCGGUGAAAUGCGUAGAUAUUAGGAGGAACACCAGUGGCGAAGGCGGUCUGCUGGACAGCAACUGACGCUGAGGCGCGAAAGCGUGGGGAGCAAACAGGAUUAGAUACCCUUGUAGUC
rnacentral:rRNA from 1 species